GCGUAAGAGCUCGUAGGUGGUUUGAUACGUCGGGUGUGAAAUUCAGGGGCUCAACCCCUGACCUGCAUUCGAUACGGUCAAGCUAGAGUUUGGUAGGGGAGACUGGAAUUCCUGGUGUAGCGGUGGAAUGCGCAGAUAUCAGGAGGAACACCGAUGGCGAAGGCAGGUCUCUGGGCCAAUACUGACACUGAGGAGCGAAAGCGUGGGGAGCGAACAGGAUUAGAUACCCUGGUAGUCCACGCCGUAAACGGUGGGCGCUAGUUGUGCGAACCUUCCACGGUUUGUGCGACGCAGCUAACGCAUUAAGCGCCCCGCCUGGGGAGUACGAUCGCAAGAUUAAAACUCAAAGGAAUUGACGGGGCCCCGCACAAGCAGCGGAGCAUGCGGCUUAAUUCGACGCAACGCGAAGAACCUUACCAAGGCUUGACAUAUACAGGAAUACGGCAGAAAUGUCGUAGCGGUUAAACGUCUGUAUACAGGUGGUGCAUGGUUGUCGUCAGCUCGUGUCGUGAGAUGUUGGGUUAAGUCCCGCAACGAGCGCAACCCUCGUUCUGUGUUGCCAGCAUUUAGUUGGGGACUCACAGGAGACUGCCGGGGUUAACUCGGAGGAAGGUGGGGAUGACGUCAAAUCAUCAUGCCCCUUAUGUCUUGGGCUGCACGCAUGCUACAAUGGCUGGUACAAAGGGCUGCAAUACUGCA
rnacentral:rRNA from 1 species